CUUCCCAAUAACACCGCCGAUGCGCGAGGCGUGACAGAGGAGGCGGAAGGAGACGUGACCCGGAGGGACCGGCAAGGGAGGUGGAGGGGGUUUGGAUCGCUUAUUGGAAGAUCCAUGGACGAAAGAGGGGUCGGGCAUAGUAGUGUACUGUAUAGGGCGUUUCGAUGGAGGAGAGAGGAAGGUACUGCCCAUAAUCUCCGGAGAAGAAAUUCAGAGCAAAAUGGUUGGAUUUAUAGAUAUAUAUGCGUGUGAAGGUGUUUUACUUUGUUUUCUCUGCCUGGAAGGGGGCGGCGUUUCGCAGCGGAAGAGCCGAAGAGAGAGAGACGGGGGAUGGGAAGAGGAGGACGAGAAAGAUUCGGGCGGCGAAGGUGCUAAAGUGCGCCAGGGGUGCGUAAGUGUGGGUGUGAGUUGCGACUUGGGUUAAGUUCUUUAUCGGCUUGCUUUUGUGCACGCGAGGAAUACGCCGC
rnacentral:misc_RNA from 1 species